rnacentral:rRNA from 1 species
UACAGAGGGGGCAAGCGUUGUUCGGAAUUACUGGGCGUAAAGGGCGCGUAGGCGGCCCGCUAAGUCGAACGUGAAAUCCCCGAGCUCAACUCGGGAACUGCGUCCGAUACUGGUGGGCUUGAAUCCGGGAGAGGGAUGCGGAAUUCCAGGUGUAGCGGUGAAAUGCGUAGAUAUCAGGAGGAACACCGGUGGCGAAGGCGGAUCUCUGGGCCUUACCUGACGCUCAGGUGCGAAAGCUAGGGGAGCGAACAGG